AACAGUAUUAGCCUCCUCCGCAGGCAUCUCAUGUUUCACGUACUUUAUUCGCCUGCAACAAGAUUUUGCCCGCCAAUCUAAAGGCGAUGCCUGCGGAGGAGGCUAGAACAGU
rnacentral:miRNA from 1 species